rnacentral:misc_RNA from 1 species
CGGAAGUAAAAGUCGUAACAAGGUUUCCGUAGGUGAACCUGCGGAAGGAUCAUUAAAAAAUUGGACUCCAUUGGUGAGUUCACUAAUAAUCCCUACCUUUGUGAAUUUGUUUGUUUGAAUAAUUUUUUUUCCAAAAAAAAUUAUUGAAUGUCUUUCCUUGUUUUGGUGGAGCUUGUAAAGUGAAACCAGGCAGGGGAAUGGCAAACAAUAAUUAUUUUUGAAAAAGACCUUUUUUUAAAAUUAAACUUUUUGUAUUCAUUUGUCUAAAAUUAAUUUUAUAAUAUAAAAACAACUUUUGACAAUGGAUCUCUUGGUUCUCGCAACGAUGAAGAACGCAGCAAAAUGCGAUAAGUAGUGUGAAUUGCAGAAUACGUGAAUCAUCGAAUCUUCGAACGCAUAUUGCACUUUUUUAGUUUACUAAAAAAGCAUGUCUGUUUGAGUAUCAGUAAAAUAUUCUCAUAAAAACAUUGUUUUUUUUAUGGUUAUGAGUGUUUUACAACGAUAACAAGUUGUUUCACUUUAAAUUCUUUGUUAUCAAAAAAAUCAUUAAAAGCUAAUUUUAAAGAUUUUUAAAAUUGGAUAAAAUUUUCCCGUAAAAAGGAAUAACCUAAACAAUUUUAAAAAAUUAAAAUUGGUUUGAUUUUUUUGAAACCCAAAGGAAAAAAAACGAAAUUAACUCGAUCUCAAAUCAGAUAAGAGUACCCGCUGAACUUAAGCAUAUCAAUAAGCGGAGGAAAAGAAACUAACUAGGAUUCCCUCAGUGACGGCGAGUGAAGCGGGAAGAGCUCAAAUUUGAAAUCUUCAAGGUUUUACCUUGACGAAUUGUAGUUUAAAGAAGCGUUUCUGUUGGAGUUUUGGUAAAAGUUCUUUGGAAAAGGACAUCAUAGAGGGUGAGAAUCCCGUAUUUGACCAUUAUCUCCAGCUUUGUGAUACACUUUCAAAGAGUCGGAUUGUUUGGGAAUGCAGUCCAAAAUGGGUGGUAAAUUUCAUCUAAAGCUAAAUACUGGCGAGAGACCGAUAGCGAACAAGUACCGUGAGGGAAAGAUGAAAAGAACUUUGAAAAGAGAGUUAAACAGUACGUGAAAUUGUCAAAAGGGAAGCGUUUGACACCAGUGUUGUUUUCUCGAAAAUCAAUUAAAAAAGGCCGGAUUUUGUGUUGUAUUGACUUUAUCAGCUUUCUGCACUCUUUUCUUGUCUUUUUUAAUGCACUUUUCGUUUAACAAGUCAACAUCAAUUUCUUUUGUUGUAAAAGGGUCAUUGGAAGGUGGCUUUCUUUUCGGAGAAAGUGUUUAUAGCCUUUGGCCUCUGCAAUCGGAGAGAUUGAGGUCUGCAGCGUAGAUCCUUCGGGGUUAGAUACAUUUGUGCUAAGUUAUAGCCUUUCAUAGACAACUUGUGACUAUGAUCAGUCAUGUAGCUUACUCGCUUAUGCUAUUUUACCUACGCUUAGGAUGUUGAGU